GGGAGGAGUUGGGGCGGUACCGGCUCCCUGGCUGCCCAGCGCCGGGCUGGGCCGGGGGGGAGGGGUGGGGGGGAGGCAGGAUGUUGGUUUUAGUUUUGUUCCCGGCUGUACCCCUGGAGACGUAACUCAGGGCUGAACACACAAAACCGGCCCACAGCGGAUGGAGGCGGGACAGGGCCUGUGGCGCCUCCCGGCACCUCCCCCUGGCAUGGACACGGCGGAGGCAGCGCUGUGAGGGGAGACCGUGGCGGCGGCGCGGUCUGGUGUUCAGCAUGUGCACCGGCAUUUGUAGGCUGUGUUUUUGCCUUGCUGCUGGCGUGGGGACAGACAGAACAGCUCUGUGAUGGCCCUGCGAGCUAUGGAGUAGUAGCAGGGUUUCCGCCAUCUGAAAUUCAGUACUCCCUAGAAAGUUGUCUUGGAACCAGAUAGAAAACAAGCAGUGAGUACCAACCAUUGAAAGUGCAUAUUCUGGUGAUUCAAAGUAAAGCCUUUUCUAUGAAGACUCCUGGAACUGUUUGCUCGUGCAACUUUUCCCUUACAGAAGGGCCAGACUACACAGCACAAGACAUUUGGUAUUUUUAUUCCUCAGGGUGAAAGGGUGGCUGAACAAAGUACUGUAUAAUUCAUGAUGCAGGAGAAAUACAUAGGCCCUGUUUUAACAGCUGCCUAAAUAUCUAAAAAGGAGGAGAUACUCAUUGUAGAGUGGUAGCAUGAGAAGUAAAAAGCUGAUUCUCCAUGGUGUCGUUCACAGUUGAAUACAAUUCCACCCUGUACACAUGUACAUUUCUUCUUUUCAAAUAAAAGCCUCCUGCUGUAUGUGAGGAAUGCUAUGCCUACUCAGAAUGUCAGUGCAAGUGCCAUCAUCUUUAUCAAGACCCUAGCACACAAUCUCUUUGCAGAGAAGGACAGGAUUAUUCACAUGUGCAGACCUAGUACUACUUAGGUGU